rnacentral:rRNA from 1 species
CUAAGAUAGUAAGAGCAUACGGUGGAUGCCUUGGCGAUAUCUGCCGAUGAAGGACGCGACAAGCUGCGAAAAGCUGCGGAGAGGUGCAAAUGACCAUUGACCCGCAGAUCUCCGAAUGGAGCAAUCCGGCAGGGUUUAUCCCCUGUCACCCAUAUCUUCGAAUAUGGGAGGGAACCGGGCGAACUGAAACAUCUAAGUAGCCCGAGGAAGAGUAAUCAAACGAGAUACCCUAAGUAGCGGCGAGCGAACGGGGCCCAAGCCCAAACCGGUGAAGGAAACUUUGCCGGGGUUGAGGACUGCCAUACGAACUAGCCCAUUAGCCGAAAUUCCUGGGAAGGAAUGCCGAAGAAUGUGAAAGCCAUGUAAGCGAAAAUGGAAAAGGGACAGGCAGCACCAGAGUACCGCGGGACACGAGAAACCCCGUGGGAAGCCGGGGGGACCACCCUCCAAGGCAAAACACAGAUAUCGACCGAUAGCGCAUAGUACCAUGAGGGAAAGGUGAAAAGCACCCCGGGAGGGGAAUGAAAUAGAACCUGAAACCGUAUGUUUACAAGCAGUCGAAGACCGCUUAAUAAUAAGGUCAACGGCGUGCCUAUUGAAGAAUGAACCGGCGAGUUAUGAGGUCCAGCAAGGUUAAGCAGGAAAUGCGGAGCCGAAGCGAAAGCGAGUCUUAAUAGGGCGACAAGUUGGAUUGCAUAGACCCGAAACCACAGUGAUCUACCCAUGUCCAGGCUGAAGCACAGGUAAAAAUGUGUGGAGGGCCGAACCUAUAUCCGUUGAAAAGGGUUAGGAUGAGGUGUGGGUAGGGGUGAAAUUCCAAUCGAACGUGGAGAUAGCUGGUUCUCCCCGAAAUAGCUUUAGGGCUAGCCUCGAGGUAGAGAUUGCAGGCGGUAGAGCACUGAUCAGGAGAGGGGCCUACCCGGCUACCAAACCCAGUCAAACUACGAAUGGCUGCAAUUAUACUCGGGAGUCAGACUACGACUUAUAAGGGCCGUGGUCAAAAGGGAAACAGCCCAGAUCAUCAGCUAAGGUCCCAAAUGCCGUGCUAAGUGGCGAAGGAUGUGGCGUUUCAUAAACAACCAGGAUGUUGGCUCAGAAGCAGCCACCAUUUAAAGAGUGCGUAAUAGCUCACUGGUCGAGAGACGCUGCGCCGAAAAUGUCCGGGGCUCAAGCACGGAACCGAAGCUAUGGCAUUGACUAUGUCAAUGGGUAGGGGAGCGUUCUUAACAGGAAGAAGCAUGACCGGAAGGACAUGUGGACCGUUAAGAAGUGAGAAUGCCGGUAUGAGUAUCGAAAAGAAAGGUGAGAAUCCUUUCCACCGAAAGCCCGAGGGUUCCUGAGCAACGAUCGUCGUCUCAGGGUAAGUCGGGACCUAAGCCGAGGCGGAGACGCAUAGGCGAUGGACAACAGGUUGAAAUUCCUGUACCGGAUACAAUCGUUUGAGCGAUGGAGCGACGCAGAAAGGCAUAUGAUCGCGCGACUGGAAGAGCGCGUCCAAGUGCGUAUGUUGAAUCGGAGGCAAAUCCCUGAUUCUGAAAGCAGAGACACGAUGGGGAGUUAUACGAAAGUAUGACGAACUCAUAGAUCCUACACUGCCAAGAAAAACUUCUAGUGAGAAAGUAUCCGCCCGUACCGUAAACCGACACAGGUAGGCGGGGAGAGAAUCCUAAGGUGCGCGGGAAAACCCUCGUUAAGGAACUCGGCAAAUUGCAUCCGUAACUUAGGGAGAAGGAUGACCUUAAGUAAGCGAAAGGGAGAAACCCCUGGAACAGAACAAGGUGGCAGAAAAGAGGCCCAAGCAACUGUUUACCAAAAACACAGGUGCCUGCGAAAGCGAAAGCUGAAGUAUAGGUGCUGACGCCUGCCCGGUGCUGGAAGGUUAAGGAGAGAUGUCAGAGCAAUCGAAGCAUUGAACUGAAGCCCCAGUGAACGGCGGCCGUAACUAUAACGGUCCUAAGGUAGCGAAAUUCCUUGUCAGGUA